GGAAAGGUGCUAGAGUGGUUGAAUAGGCUCGCCUGGAAAGCGUGUGUACUUUUACCGGUACCGCGGGUUCGAAUCCCGCCCUUUCCGC
rnacentral:tRNA from 1 species